rnacentral:rRNA from 1 species
AGAGUUUGAUCCUGGCUCAGAUUGAACGCUGGCGGCAUGCCUUACACAUGCAAGUCGAACGGCAUCACGGGGGCAACCCUGGUGGCGAGUGGCGAACGGGUGAGUAAUACAUCGGAACGUGUCCUGUAGUGGGGGAUAGCCCGGCGAAAGCCGGAUUAAUACCGCAUACGAUCUACGGAAGAAAGCGGGGGAUCCUUCGGGACCUCGCGCUAUAGGGGCGGCCGAUGGCAGAUUAGCUAGUUGGUGGGGUAAAGGCCUACCAAGGCGACGAUCUGUAGCUGGUCUGAGAGGACGACCAGCCACACUGGGACUGAGACACGGCCCAGACUCCUACGGGAGGCAGCAGUGGGGAAUUUUGGACAAUGGGGUAAACCCUGAUCCAGCAAUGCCGCGUGUGUGAAGAAGGCCUUCGGGUUGUAAAGCACUUUUGUCCGGAAAGAAAACUUCUGCCCUAAUACGGCGGGAGGAUGACGGUACCGGAAGAAUAAGCACCGGCUAACUACGUGCCAGCAGCCGCGGUAAUACGUAGGGUGCGAGCGUUAAUCGGAAUUACUGGGCGU